rnacentral:lncRNA from 1 species
GUGUGCUCGGAACGCAGACGCGGCCCGCCGCACUCACUGACCUGAGGCGGCAGCGCGACCGCCGCUUCCGGCCCGGACACGGGCAAGAUGGCGGCGGCCGAGAGCGGUGCUGCCGGGGCCCACGACCUAACCACUGGCCUCCAGCCGCGCCGCUGCGCCUGGGCCUCGCAAGGGGAGUCCCCGCUGGCGGACCGCCCUUCCCUCUCCCGGGACUCACUGCCUAGGGGCGGGGCCGCCGUCCCGGAGCCCCCGCCUUUCCACAGGCCCCGCCCCCGGGGCUGGUCCCCCGGGUGUCCGGAGCUCAGAUCCCAGAUAGAGCCUUCCAGCGCCUUCACACACUUCAGCUCGUUUGAUCAAUUUUAAUGCCUAUCAAACAUUAUUGAGGGCGAUAUGGUAGAAAAUCUAGGGUUUGGAGGUUAUGACGUAUUCACCUUUUACUCUGUCCACAAAUAGGUCUUGGACACCCAUUUUAUACCUAGCACGGAGUUGGAAUGCUGGGGAUGUAGGAGAGCCCUAAAAAGACACGUCCCUGUGGAAAUCGGGCAAUUAGUGAGGGCUUGUUAAGGCCUGUAGAGUACUGCACAGGAGAGGAACCCACUUGGUGGAAGCCCAGCAAAGCCCCCUUGACGAUCACUAGGAUGAGACAAGAAGACUGAAUAAAUAUGAGAGGGCUCCAGGCGAGAGGGUAGAAAGAAAAGAGCCUUCUAAGGAUGGGGCAGAAAUAAGAAAAGGAAAAGAAAAAAGACGAAGUGCAAAAGAAGUGCUCAGGGAGAAAAGUGUGCUUUAAAAGAAAAAGAGGAUUCAUCCUGCAAGCAGAACGGACCACUACAAGAACAAAGGACAUGGUGGCAGUACAUAAUGAUUUCAUUCCUCGUUGGGGACUUGGGACAUUUCUAGGAAAGGGACCCAGGAUCUUGUCCAUCCAGCAUAAAUUGAAGAGCCCCAAGGGACUGAAUUUAACUACAAGAGCAAGAGACUGAAAAAGGAAGAUAGUCAAUAAUCUUCUGUAAACAAAUGUAAGGUUUUUUUUUCUAUUAUCUGGG